AAGUUGGCUCUGUCCUCGUCUGGAAUUAUGUUCUUGAUGGCAAGACCUGCGUGGCCAAGACUGUGAUUGAAGCCAUAGACCCAGCAAAGAACUCAAUCACUUUGAAGAUAAUAGAAGGCGAUGUACUUGAACAUCUCAAGAGCUUCAAAGCCACGAUUCAAGCCAUUCCAAAG